AUGAGCAAGCGUUUGGCGACAGUAGGAAGGAAAAACUCCCUUUUAACAGGAAGAAAUCUCUGGCAGAACCAUGCUCAGGAAGGAGCAGCCAUCUUCGACGACUUCAGCAUUAAGACUGUUUUAAACACUGGUUUUCUACUCUUGGUUCUGUAUAAGAUCAGAUCAGUCACAGGCCUAGCAACAAUGGUUGCUAUGGAAAACUGUAUAUUAUAAAAGGCUGGGAAGUUGUUGAUCUCUAUGUGAAACCAAUCGGCCAAACGAUGGAUAGCAUUCGCCUGCUCCCUGCAAUUAACACAUUUUAAAAGGUGCAACUUUUAUUUUGAAGGUCAACAGUCUAAGUCUCACUACUUGCACCUAGCUCUUUGAUCGCUGGAAACCAAUUAUCAACCACUCAGGGAAUUCACUUUUCCCUAGCAUUUUUUGUUGCCAGGGUGUUGCUGACCAGUCUGUAGGUCUGUUUGUCUAAGGCCUAAGAUACACGGCCCCACCCACCUGCUAUUUAAAACUUCUGUUUGCACUCAGGAGCCAAUAAUAAGAAAGUUAGCUUGUUCUCUUGAAAGAAGAUGUGCUAAAAGAGCUCACUUCACACAGAAAAUGAACUGAAGAACUGUAUCAAGGUCCAGUAAAAACAAAUUAGGAGUAUUUUUAACUUAGAAUAAUGCAAAGCUGCCCUAGUAUUUACAGUCUACUAGGCAGUGGACAAAAAGCGCUGGAAAUAAGCAGAACUUUAAUGACUGACUGUUGUACUGGCAGGGAGUUCACAAGUGUGUCAAGUGACAAGGGAUCAAUAAAGUCUUUUCAAUUUUAUCUUAAUACAUAAGAUAUCAUGAUUUAUUUGUUCAUUUGUUGAUUGCCUUUUGUACUAUUAACCUAAACCUAUUUCCCUGUUUUAGUGGGGUAGAAGUAAAACCAGAAAUAAUGUCCUCUCUACCCUAUUAAAGGAAAACUCUUCCAGGCACAAAUCGUUUUUAAAAUCAUCAUCAAAAACAUCAACAGAAGGCUCAAAAAUCCCAAAGCAGCUGCGCGGUUGGCAGUCUUUCAGACGUGCUACCUCUGAUGCUGAAAUAUUCCAUACGGUUUCCCACUAUACAUCCUGGCCAACUGCGAGAAUAACAAAGCACUUCCUUUUAUUAUUAUUUUUUUUAUUAUUCCCGUUCACUUAGAAUCUGCCAACGGGAUCACCGUGUCCAGGGAAGCUCUGGCAGAGUGGCGGGCACAAUACGGGUGUACGCCACAUGCCACAUGGCAAAUAAUGAGAAUCAUCCAUUUCAUUAAAGAAGAUUGCCUCCACACUGAACAUGGAAUCAAUCAAAACCAUAAACAGCUAGAAGCCUGGCCUACGCCUGCUCACCCACUGGGAUCUCUACUAUCUGUAGUGUGAGGAUUCUGGAUUUCUGGUUUUAAAAAAAGCCAGUAUGAUAACAAACAUUCAAAUAGUUUGUGCAUUAUCAUGGAAGUGUCUCAUUGGCCUGAAAGUCAAGCAAAGUUGAAGAACUAUUGCUGGCCAGACAAAGAGCAAGCAGUCCUGCUGCAUCAUGGAGUCACUCUGGGAUCGCAUUAAGAGAUAAAGCUGAGAGAGCAUAAAUCCACAAAAGAACUGAGGCAAGUUUUCUGAGUUGCUUGGAACAAACUACAUGCAUCACCAUGAAAAACUGUGGGAACCUAUAACAGAGUUGGUUUUAUUUUAAAAGUAAAGAUAUAGCAACUUUACUGCACUUUGUCUGACGUUAACCUAUAAAUAACACUGCCUCAGUUUUCUUUUAGUCUUUCUUUUAGUACUCCCGCACAGUACUCUGUAGAAGCACAUCCUCUGAAGAAUGAGAUACUCGUGUUUUAUGUGUUUAGCUAGCACAGCCUGGAACAGACCACCAUGUUUUUACGCUUCAUCCACAACCUUUAAUACUGUUCCUGAUGUUAAAGUCUGAAGUAAUCCUGAUUAUGAGCCAAAAAACCCCAUAAAAAUCUCAGGCUUCAUCUUCCACUAAAUGACUUGUGAAUGCUUGCUUUCUGACAGGUUUUUCUAAACCUGGCUCUGUAUGAUGUCAGUCUCAGAUGUGGCCUCUCAAGCAUACAACUCUGUCUAAAAUGACCUCUCAGGCACACACGUGAGGCAACGAAUAAAAAAUACAGAGCUGGAAACGAGUGCACGGAGCAUUAUGUAGUGUUCGGUAUUUUUAUAUCAGAAAUAGAUUAAAUAACUUGUUCGAACUGCAACUCAAGGAACUGUACCGUGUCUUUAGGAUCCUUUAGCCCACUGGUUUCAUUUUAAGGCUUUUGGGUGCUCUCGUCAAACUCCAAACUCCACCCUCACAGACAUACGUGUCGCAUCAAAACAGAGGCAACAAGAGGGUGUAGACUGGACUUACAUUCAUUGUCAGAUUGUGAUACAUAUAAAAAAAAUAACACUUGGGAGACAGACACCUUUACAUUUAAUAUUCUGGUUAAAAGUUUGCGUCUUCAUAAAGCUUAUAGUUAAACUUGGAUCAGGGGACUCUGAACCAUCCUGUGCGUUAGGCUCAGGCUGCUGAGGGACUUCCCAUGAUGCACUGAGCACUUGUUCUAAUACUGAAUACCAUUUAAUUUUGUCUUCUUCCUCUGUGUCCCCAUACUCUCCUUUCAUUUCUUCUCCUUCCUCUUACACCCCAGCCAGUUGCAACAGAUGGCUGCCCCUCCCCAAGCCUGGUUCUGCUGGACGUCUCUUCCUGUUCAAACACACAGGAAGUAUAAAGCCAAGUGAAUCUGCUCACUGGGAAUGCAGCAGGAUCAAAGUAAGCAAGUUAAUGGAGUUACACACUGCCAUCUUAUUCUUCGUGCUCUUUAAGUCCAAUUCAGCAUUUCCAGCUUCUCUCUAAUUUAUUAUUACAUCAUACAAAACAAGUAAAUUAAGAGCCAGUUAUACCAUUUGGCUCCCUUUUUGUGGCAUUCCUAACUUCUGAAAAGCUGCAGCAAAACGUGACUAUUUUAAAGCACCUGAAACACACACAGAAAACAGCAUUUAAUUUCACAAAAAUGUCAAAAUGACUUGUACUCCGUCUGCAAUAUGACAAUUCUCGUGUGUUUUUGAGACACUCAGAGCAGGCUUCCUGCAGCGCAAAGACACCGCAGAGGCCAAUAGUAGCAAUCCAUCAGAGUCAGGCUGCAUCAAACUGAUUGCUCUAUAUGACCCAGUAGUGAUGUGACAGCAGUAGUACUGACAGUGAGGGGGCGGCCGCUAGUGACAGGCCGGCCUCCUGGACUGGUCCAUUUAGUCCCACACCAGCAGUGACCCUGAAACAGCAUCCGCUGGCCUCACACUCCACUGCACAAACAGCUGAAGUGCAUCCUCUGUAGGAAUCAUCUCAAACUAACCUCAUCCAGCAAAGAUGAGCAAAAGGCCUACACACUAACGCUUUCCCAGUCUGCUCCUAUCGACCAGCAGGACGCCGGGAUGGUGUCAGGCCCCACUCGCAGCACAGGGCCGUUUGAUGAUGACUGCCUCCGACCUCUGGCCCAUCAAUAUAUCGAUCGCAGCUCCACAGAACAAACCUCCAUUAUUUACCACUUGUGCUAGAGCAAAAACAUCCGAGGCUUGGGAGUCAAUUUACUGAAUAUUAAUGAAAAGGUGCAUUUUUUUCCACCAUUUCUGACAAAUGAGUGACAAUUCUGCAUGUAUUUCUACAUACAGCGUCAAUGACAUUCGUAGGUAACAAUUUGUUUUAAUGUUAUUUUAAUAUGCAUUAGUUAAUAAGUAAUAAGGUGGUUGUAAAUGUGUGACUAAAUCAUUGUUAAAUCUAUACUAAACUUCCUUUAGUUGCAAUCUAUAUCCUUAACACCAGGACACAGAUGCAGUUUUUA